ACUCCUACGGGAGGCAGCAGUGGGGAAUAUUGCACAAUGGGGAAACCCUGAUGCAGCCAUGCCGCGUGUGUGAAGAAGGCCUUGGUUGUAAAGCACUUUCAGUAGGGAGGAAGGUAGUGUAGUUAACACCUGCACUAUUUGACGUUACCUACAGAAGAAGCACCGGCUAACUCCGUGCCAGCAGCCGCGGUAAUACGGAGGGGUGCGAGCGUUAAUCGGAAUUACUGGGCGUAAAGCGCAUGCAGGCGGCCUGUUAAGUCAGAUGUGAAAGCCCGGGGGCUUAACCUCGGAAUUGCAUUUGAAACUGGCAGGCUAGAGUCUGUAGAGGGGGUAGGAAUUUCAGGUGUAGCGGUGAAAUGCGUAGAGAUCUGAAGGAAUACCAGU
rnacentral:rRNA from 1 species